UGAAUGCACCUCCGUGUUUGUGUUAUUCACUGGCCUACCUAAUAACCGAAAUAAAUUUGUAAUAACUAUUUUGUUUUUUUAACUGAGACUCGUUUCCUCAUGGCGGUGCUAUUUCCUCCUCCAAACCUUCACCACCACCACCGUAAUAACCAGCAACACCAUCACCACCAUUCACUAAUUGUGCUGCUCUCACCACCACCUUAAUCAGGAUGGAAGGUAGCAAAAGAGAGAUACAAGGUGGUCAGAAUCUCUUCACCAGCAGCACCUCCGCCACCACCUCAACAAUGCGGUGCCAUCAUGUCUUGGGUUAUCCACUAGUUAAUUUUCAGUGGGUAGAGUGUGAAGACACCAUAAACAAGUGUAUCAAGAUUUAAACAAGUCGUGCUACUCGGCCAUUAGGAUAUCUGGCGCCGUUCAAGGCUGCGCUCGAUUAGACUAACCAAGAUGUAAAGCACAACUUGUACUUGGCCGAUUUUUAAUAAGGGAAGUCGGAAAGAAGCAUUUAAAAAUUUGCCCGUGCUUGUGAGUAUGAUGAUGAGCUUGCAGUAAAACUACUAGUAGUAUGUAAAAUUUUCGGUGUAGGUUCCGCAAGAUGCUGAAAACAGAAAAGGUUCAUAAAGAAAAGAAUAAAAACUUUGGGCCAUCUAGAUUUACUCGCCUCAAGGAUAUUUUGAUUUGUCUUGUCAAUAGUACCAUAAUAUCACAUGAUUUUUAA